AAAUCUUGUACAAGCCCAUAGUAUAUUUGCUUGCUUUCUAUGGACCCACAGUUUAACAUGAGAGCCACGAAUGGACUCAAGUUGUUUUAUCGGCUGCCGUCCAGUGACUGACACUCGUUUGACUGAAACAAACAUAAACAAACAAGUCCAAGCCAGGAUUCGAACCUGAAACCGCACAACGAAUUAUGAGAUGCACUUGGCCGAGCAACCGCACCUAAGCGGCAAGGGCGUCCAAAUUUAAUGAAAACGGAAAUAUGUACGCCGUUUAUAUGGCAAAAGGUAACCGAUAAUAAUUAAGACGAAAGUGCCUGUGGGGACAAUAUGGUAAUAUUUUAUUAUUACUGCAGAAAGUCUAUAUUUACUUAUUUAUUAAAAGUAUUAGUAAAGGAAAUGUAGUAAAGGUAUGCAGGUAUUAAACAUAUAGCUUAUUUUAUUAUCGCUUUAACUAAAACUUAGUUUUCCCAGCUUUUCAAAUCUAAGUAUAAUCAGAGCUUUUGUCCUUUUCCCUCUUCGUUGCUUGGUGUUGAUGUCCAGCUGUAGAACUUUCUUUCAAGCUUGUUUUUGACUAUUGCUUUGAAAAUUCAUCCUGCAAUAUCGCAGAAUAUUUUAAUUUGUUUUUUCAUUUUUAAUUUGUUCUUCACUGAUAAUUUAGCAGAUUUCUCGUUUCCGUCGUGGCUUUGAUGGUACCUAUUUAGUUUGUUAAACUGAAUAGUUGCUUCUAGGAUAAUUAUACAGUCUCUCAUUAGCUGUGAAUUAACAUGGUGUAAAUGGAUUGCAAAUUCUUCGUUUCAGUGUGCCGAGAAGCGAGGCUGUAGACAGGGUUACUAAACGCUUCUUUUAUGCUUUAAAAUGAAGCUUAUUUUAUUAAAUAUUUUUUAUUAAGUGUGUGCGAUAAUUUUUGUAAUUUAAGGCUAUUUUCUACAUGAUAAACAUAUAGGUCUCUGCUGAGAAGGUAUCAUACAUAAACAAUUUCUAACAAGUAUGUACUUUACAAAAAAAUUCUCUGCAUAACCUAUUUCUAAAAAGAGCAUCUUUGCAGUACAACUGAUCUUAUUUUGGAUCCGUAUUAUUAUAAUGUUUCCUUUAAAAUCCAGCCUAUUUUUGGAAAAUUUAUAACAGAUUAUUUUAAACUAUAAUUUAGGCACUUACAUUUACUCUUUAAAGCGACAAAUUUGGGCAUUAGAUUUUGUUCAUCUUAUAUGUCUUUACAUAAACUGUUUGUGAAUUACUUGUACGUGUUUCGAUCUUGGUUUUUCUUCAAUUUCUUAAAAUCUUUUCUUGGAGUUCUAUAGUGCUUAUAUUGCGUUUUUAUUUCAUCUACUUCUAGUUCAAUAUCCUUAAGAAAACACUAAACGAGAAUUCUACAUCAAUCAAAAAUUUACCAAUCACAUUAAACCUAGCACUGGCUAUAAAGUGACAGCGCAAGUACUGGAAUAAUUGACGCAUAUCGGUAAUAAACAAUUUUAUUUCCAUGACAAAUAUCAUUGUUUCCUAAUUUGAAUAGAAUUUCGAUGCCAAAUGUUUAAAACUAUAAAUAAACAAAAUUACAUUAUCUUUUCUUCAACACUAACCAAAUCCGGAUUAACCCGAAUAUCAGGGUGUGGAUUUAGCCACCAGUCAUCGUGGGAACUCUGUUCAUAUUAAAAAUCAGGGUGAUUUUGCCACGGACCCCUGUAUUAUGCGCUACUCGCCACUCCAUUGAAAGAACGUUACGGGGUGUUGCGUCGAUCUUUUUUAUAUAAUAGCUUAGAAAUUGCCUUUUAAUCUAAUUAGUCGCGGACAGUGAGUGAAGCCAUGGCUGCAUCUACCAUGUCUGAUUAACAUAUGAAUUAUGGUUAAGUAACGAUUUAUUAUCUCGGACUUGGUGAAUAAGGGCCCGCUUAUAUCUGAUGUGCUGCCGUGAGAAUCUAUGAUUAAUUUUAUACAUUAUACCAUUAUGCUGGAUGUAAAAAAGCUGUUUUUUUUUUGGUCCUUAUAAAAUUUUAAAUAUAAGAAUUUGACCCAGAUCCUAAAAUUCGAUAAUAUUGUUACGAUAUUGUAAACACUGAGAGACUACCUGAUUUUUCGUUCUAUUCCGGAAUGACACAAGUGGUACACCGCAAGACGUCUCGAAGGUUAGCGAGAAUGUUCUGGAAUAGCGUUCUGCCGAGUAUAUAAGAAGCCGCAUCGCCAAUAAUAGUCAGUUCAGUGGACUAAAAUUCGAAAUAUUGACACGAGAUUUAAAUCAGAUAUAAAUAGUUGUAAAUAAAUACAUUGAUCAUAAAUAUGUCAAGUAGUAGUAAGUGAUCGUUUUUCGUAGUGUGUAAAUAAAUUAUUUUACUAUU